rnacentral:rRNA from 1 species
AUUGAACGCUGGCGGCAUGCCUUACACAUGCAAGUCGAACGGUAACGCGGGGCAACCUGGCGACGAGUGGCGAACGGGUGAGUAAUGCAUCGGAACGUGCCUGGUAGUGGGGGAUAACUGUUCGAAAGAGCAGCUAAUACCGCAUACGACCUGAGGGUGAAAGCGGGGGACCGCAAGGCCUCGCGCGAGAAGAUGAGCCGAUGUCCGAUUAGCUAGUUGGUGAGGUAAAGGCUCACCAAGGCGACGAUCGGUAGCUGGUCUGAAAGGAUGAUCAGCCACACUGGAACUGAGACACGGUCCAGACUCCUACGGGAGGCAGCAGUGGGGAAUAUUGCACAAUGGAGGAAACUCUGAUGCAGCAACGCCGCGUGGAGGAUGACGCAUUUCGGUGUGUAAACUCCUUUUAUAAGGGAAGAUAAUGACGGUACCUUAUGAAUAAGCACCGGCUAACUCCGUG